ACCACUCUAGGUAAAAUCUAGUUGCACAACUAAAUUGAAAAUUCAGCUUGUGCCUGGAAAGCUGAAAUCGGGAACAAAAGUCACAAAAUAAAUAUGGAACUGGAAAUAACUUUUCACCAUCUCCCACUGCUCUAUCCCCAAAAAAACUCAUGGGAGGGAGGUUUCUUUAUGGAAACAAUAAUCACGACAUAAUUUAGUUUCUUUCCUGUCAAAGCGUAAGAUUCUUUCACCUACAAACUCAUCAAAAAGGGAUUUUUCAUCUUCAUCUUAGAUUAGCAAAGCACUGUAGCGAAUGAAUAGUUCAAAAAAAGUGAGACUGAUAUCAACCCAUCAACUUGAUAAAGUUUGGUCAUUCGCAGAACUUGAACAUAGUUGCUUUUAGACAUGAUCACAAGACAUCUGCCGUCUCUAGAUUGAUCGGGUGUAGCAAAGCACUGUAGCAAAUCUUAAAUACUAGAAAUGAGAGAAUUUGAUGUACAUGUACGCCAAUAAAUACUGCAAAUCACAUGUAACUGAAAUCUUAGACUGCAACAUGAUUAUACAUACUUGAAAUAGGUGGUGAUUGGUGAUGCUUUGAAAUCAAAACUGUCAGCCAUUCCACUACGCCUUUUCUUGUACGCCACUUUGUGUCAGAAUUUAUGGUACUUGUAUGCCCAAAAGUAUCCAAAUAAUCCUCUGAGACAACAUAUAACAUGUUCCUUGAGCUUCCUUCAGUACCCACUACAGCAAGGAUUAACUCCCCUGAGGUAUCCUUCAAGUAGUAGUGCACAACACGACAACACUUCCCCUGAGAAACAACGUGCUCUUCCCACGAACUAAAUACAUGACUAUCUGUAUCCAUCCUAAUGCCACAGAGAAACAGUUUGGAUUAAUCGAAAAAUAGCCCAGUUCUAAACAAAUCAGUUUAGGCUAAAUAAUCAUGAACAAACAUAAUCCUCCUAAGUUCUGUUACAAUUUAGGACCCGAUCAAACAAACAUAAAUGAUUGGAACAAAAAACAUCAGAUACAAAGAACAGAUUUUUCCAACAAUUAGCUCCUAAUGAUCAUAUAAAAAAUGAAAAAACAUAAACAAACCACAACCCCAAAUGAAACACAGACAGAAUUUUGCUUAAUCCAAAGAUAAACCAACCUUACUUCCAGAAAACUCUCAACAGCUCAGCUACUAAGAACAGAUAAACUUUUUCAAGAAUUACCAACCAAGGAUCAAAUUCACAAUGAAAAACAACAAUGAGGCCCAAACCCAAGUGAAAAAUGAAAUAGGGUUUGCCGAUUUUCAAAGAUUAAUCAUGUACAAGAAUAAAAGCACACAACAUUGAACCAGCAUUGAGAAGACAUCAAGUGCUCACACUUACAAGCAGCAAAAAAGAACCCAAAAUUCAAGAAAAACAAGCUAAGCACGUGACUAGAACAAAAACACUUAAAAGAGAAAUGGGUUUGCUGAUUUCCAAAAAGAUUAACCAUGUACAAGAACAAAAAUACAGAACAUUGAACCAGCAUUGAGCAGACAUCAAGUGAUCACACUUACAUCAAAUAGCUUAGGAUUGGAAAAGAGAACAAGCAGCCAAAAAGAACUUGAAAUUCAAGAAAAACAAGCUAAGCACGUAACUAGUACUGACUGAUCUCAAAAAUAGCAAAAGUUUGUUGCCUUAUGAAGAAACUGAGUUUCAGAAAAAAGCCAGAGAAUGCUGAGUUGGGUCUUUUGUCUACAAGCAGUGACAGUUAGGGAAAAGGAUAGAGUAAAGAGUAAAAGAACAAGAAAAGAAGAAAGAGAAGGAGGUAGAAAAAGCCAAAUGCCAUUGUUGCCAACACAAGCAAAAGGCUGAGCUCUGGGUUUUCGUUUCAACUUCUUUGUGACAUGUGGAAGCAACAAGAGGGAGAAACACAAUACUUAAGCUUUUGAGUUUUAGCCUUUACACUAAACAAAAUUAGUGUUACAACAGUAUUAGUCACAGAAAAUUUAUUCCAAAAUUAAACUAAAAAAUACGAUUUUGAACCCGUUUCAUGCUCAUGUCAGGUCGGGGUUACUGAAGAAAGAAAAAACCUGCAUGCUCAUGUCAGGUCGGGGUUAGUGAAGAAAGAAAAAACAUGCAAAAUUCGAUUCAUUUUAUCGAAAUCGAUUAGUUAAUAUGUAAGUUAAAUGUAUUUUUAAACAUGAAAAAUAUCUUUGGCCUAUCAAAUUAUCUGUAGAGCUGUGAAAAAAAUUCAACAAAAGACGAAAACAAAUCCACUUCCGUAAUAGAAACUUAAAUUUGUUCACAAUAUUAAUCAUAUUUUCUGUGCCAACGAGGAGUAUAAUAAUAUUUCAUUUGGACUAAUAUUCUCUAUGUGAAUCUCUUCCAGGCCAAAUGGAAGCAGAAUGCGCCUUUCCUCUGUUGAGGAAUUCCACGAAAUGAAAACGGGCAACAUCGAUGCUCCACCUUUUAGUAACAACGUAAUGACAAGUGUGUUGAAGCCAUAUAACAGGGACAAAAUUCAUCGAUUAGGUGGCAGGUUUGUAGGUCUUUGAUCUAUCAGCACCCAUUUCUUUUUUAAGCAAAGAGGAAAUUGUACAGCCCAAUCAGUAUAAGAAUAAAGCCAGAUUAAGGUAUUUAAGCAAGAACUGUCUGAUCAUACAAGUGUGUUUCUGCUGCUGAUAACUUGCAGUUCCUUGUUAAGUUGUAUGAAAUUUCAAACAUGCGAUGCAAUACAAUUUUGAGCCGAGGGUCUAUCGAAACAGCCUUUCUAUCCCACAAAGGUAAAGGAGGGUAAUGUCUCCGUACAUCUUACCCUCCUCAGAUCUCAAUUGUGGGAUUGCACUUGAGCCCACCUCACGGCCCAAAAGACCAGUCCUUUAUGAUAUUGCAAUUGUAAACAGCUCUAAUCAGCAAAUUUUGAAUUGAUUAAUUCAGAGUAAUUAUCAAUCCAGCUAUGAGGCCAUUCCGCUGAACUAAGAAUAAACAGUGCAUUACUCGAAACAAUCAGUAUAUAAGACUAGACAAAGAAUAAUUGGUAAAGGAGAAGGGGGUUUAACCACUUCUUUUCUUAGCAAAUAAAAAGCUCAUGCUGUUUCUCUCUGGGUACAUGAAAAAAGCAAUCUGACAGCUUUAGUAAUUGAAACCAAAAAAUCAGCGAUCAAAAGAUAACCUAAUAAGAAUCAAGAGGUUGUAACAUGAUAAUGAAAAAAUCAGACAACAAUAUUUCUCUGUUCACUUAAUUUGAAAUACUAAAUGAAACCACAAAAUAAUUUGUUUUGAAAUGCCAAAGAAUGCAUACCAGACAACACAUUCUUAAUGCCACAGGGAUGUGUAUCAGUUUCUCUCCCGAGAGCACUUUUCAGUGUGAGAAUUUCAUUAGGUAGUUGGUAAUCAUCUAAUUCACCACUAUAUUUGACAUCGUGAAUAAUAAGGAUCUUAUAGUUGCCACUAAUUGAGUCAUAAAGCAAUCCCAAAAUUCCUCCAGGCGAAAUCAUGGAUGUGGAGGCACUUUUGAUUCUCUUGUGGAGAGAUUACAUAGCGAUAGGUUGGGUGCGUCGAAAUCCAAAUUAUUAUCACAAACCGUGAUAAUAGUCAAGCCAUUGCAAAAUCAAUUGAUUGCGCAAAACCCUGGUUUAGAGUUUGAAGGGCAAUCAAUUUUCUGUACAUCAUCAACCAGUUGAACCGACAAUAAAAGACAAUAAUUGAUUGAAAAUAUACAAUCCUUGUGGCACUUCUGACAAAUAAGAAAUUUUUGGGAAUUUUGGUCAUUCUUAGCAUAUUUGAGAUGCUUCAUCUUAAAGUAAGGCUUGAAGAUCAAUGUUUUCCAAAAUUUUGUGAUACAUUUGAAAAAAAGACGAGACCGCACAGGUAAUUUCCGGAGUAUAUCAGCAAGUAUUUCCUCUGAGAAGUGACAACACGGACAAAGACAGGACAACAAAGAGUGAUCAUAGUAUUUGAAUAUUAGACAUUUCAACCAAGAGAUUUAAGAAGAUAAAACUUUUGAUUUCUUCUAUCUACUACUUACAAACAAUUACUAAUAAAAUUUAUACUUUCAAGUAGAGGAAGGGACAGAUAAGCCAAGUACCUUUAAGCAUUCCCAUCAUGUUUGACAAAAUAACUCACUGAAUAUAUCAACUGGUGUCUGAAUAAAAGGGACUAUAAAUUUGACUUUCUAUUACCACCAAAUACUAUAGCAAUGACAACAAACAACAUACUCAGUGUAGUCCCACAAAGUGAAGUCUAGGAGGGAACAAUGUAUGCAGACAUUACCCCUACCUCAGAAAGGGAGAGGUGAUUUUCGGUAGACCCCUGGCUCAAAUACCAUAGCAAUGCGCACUUAAAUUUUCCCACUAGGUCCAGCACAUUUUUAACAAUUAAAGUAAAAUUAAGCAUAGGAAUUAUACACCGUUUAGCCAAACAACAAAAAUGUGGUUAACAAAAGAACUCACCUCAUCAACAACAUCCAUCUGCUUUGAUGGCUUUUGAUUUCUUCCUUUGUUGGCAAUUCACCUUUUGUGUUCGAUUUGAAUGCUAGGGUUAUUUUAUAUUGUGGAGGGAGUGCGUGCACGAUUCAGAAUUUCCUCUCUGAACUACCCAUGUACCUAUCUCCACAAACACAAUAGUAAAAACAUCAUGGAGCGGGUGUUUUGAUACCGUCAUUUAACUUGUACUCAUCUUUUUAAAAUUUUUGCACAUAUACCAUUUCAGACAUGCCAUGUCUGAAGUUAGACUAGACAAAAUCAAACUUCAGACAUAGUGUCUAAAAUUUCAUGACUGAAAUUCUGGUAAAAAUGGUUGAACUUUAUCAUAUACUAGUAAAAUUAUCUGCGCUUCGCGCGGAAAUUUAAUAUCACAUAAUUUAUAAAACAAUACUUACAAUCUAUCAGUCAUUAAAAUUAAAACACUAUUUUAUCUUAGAUACAAGAUUACGUAGGAACGAACAUUAAUAAUGUAAAGGAAAAUAAUAAUUAUAACAUUUUAUCAUUUAUCCUUCAAUCAAUCAUCUUUAAUUUGAUUUUAUAAUUUAUCCUUUUGCCGUCAGGAAGUAUUACUAUUUGAUAUUUUUGGGAAAUUAGAUGAACAUCAACGUGAGAUAUUAAAUUUUCUAAUAAAUAAAUAAUAUUUAUAUGUACUAANNNNNNNNNNNNNNNNNNNNNNNNNNNNACAAAGUUUAAAACAUGUACUAAAAAACAACAAUUAAUAUCAUAAGCAUAAAUUAAUGACUGUAAAAAAAAUAUACCAAGAUCUAUAACAGUAGAAUGAAACAGAAAGGAAAAAAUUGAGCCCACAAUGCACAGUGUUCCCUUAAGGAAAUUAUUCCCCUCUAGUACCCGAGGUUUAAUGGAAUAGAUCCUCUCAGGAUGGAACAAUUUUAUUCACAAGUAUAUAGAUAUAAAAACAAUGGUGUCAGUGAGCCCUUCAACAGGAGCAAAGUACUUGAAUAUUUAAUUGUGCAGAAGAAGAAGAAGAAGUUCAGAAUUUUCGUUGUUUGAGAGGAAAUCCCUCUAUUUAUAGACAACAAAGGAUAGUGUGAACGAAUGCUUAUUGUGCCUUAUCGAAAAUGUCACAACUCUUCGAAAAGGUCAGAACCUUUCAUAAAAGUCACAAUUUUUCAUAAAAGUCGUAACUCGUCAUGAAAAUCGCAAUUCUUCAUAAAAGUCACAACUUUUCGUAAAAGUCACGUCUUUUCAUGAAAGGGGAUGACUAUUUUUGGGUAACUCUUCAUAAAAGUCGCAACUCUUCAUAAAAGUCAUAACUUUUCAUAAAAGUCACAUCUUUUCAUGAAAGGGGAAGGCUAUUUUUAGAAAUAAAUAAAUCUAAAAGGAAAUUCUAGCUUGUGGUGGCGCCACGUAGGCGGGCCUAGGGUUCUCUUUUAUAUAAAUAUAUGAUAUGAUGUCCAAAGACCUUUUCUAGGUCUUUGUACUCAUUAUGUCUAGCAUUGAAUAGACCGAAUAUUCACCUUAUCAAGAUCUCAAAUCAAUGAUGAGGUCUGGUUGGCACCUCCUAAAUGGGUGUCCAAAUUGGACUGAAUCCUUUGUCGGGCUAUGGUUCCGUCAAAGAUAUGGAGUAAGACAUUAAUUUCUCAAUAAGAUCAUUUUUUUAUUGUAUGAUGAACCCGGUGAAAAGUACAGGAACAAUUUUGUCCCUUUUCCCGUAAUUUGAAUUACAAGCCACAGAGUCAAAAGAAACUAAUAAAAUUGCAUCCGAAAGAUGAACCAACUAAAUUUACAAACAAAACAACUGAGAUAGUGGUAAAAAUGUAAGAGCUUUUUGCCAACAUAGCAAACACAUACUCAAAGGAAACUUCAUAAAGUUAAAACUUUUAUGCAUAACCAAUAAGAGAGAGUGUACAAUACAAGAGCAUGCCAACUUCUAGGCCAAUUUGUAAAACUCAUACAUAUAGUAACCAAAAGAGUGCGCUCAGAUGGUAAGCACCCUCCAAUUCUAAACCUCAGGUUGUGAGUUCAAGUCACCAAGGGAGCGAAAAAGUGGGAGUUCCUGGGGAGGGGUAAAAAAAAAAGAGUGCUUGCUUAUAGCUCUUUAAGAUGCCUUUUCCAAGUUUUGCUGUCAAAGACCUAUACAUUUACAAAAGGCAAAUCGAGCACCGUUGAAAGUUACUUACAUGUCAAAAUUUACCCAGUGUCAAAAGUAUUUCACUAUUAUCAAAAAGAACUAACCACUGCUAGACGCCAAAAUCAUCACUUGUAGAAUUGUCUGAAAUCAGUUCUUGUUACCUGCAAGAAAAUCAAUACACCAUCACUUUUUCAGUUUAAGCACAUCAGUGUCUUGAUUCUCAGCUGAGUGUUUAGAAGUUGACGCCAUUUUGUUGUCUUCAGGUGCCACAAGCUUGGGAGCAUCUGCUUUUCGCACUUAUCAGGUUCUUUGAUACUGCACUUGGAUACAUCAGAUAAACUCGAGUUUAUGAACGACUUUAUAUCUUUCUUUCCCUUAACUUCAAGCCAUUUGUCAUCAAUCCAACCUCUUGAAGUCCUCAUGUUCUUCCUUUGAAUCUUCAAUAAUAUGUUCUCGCCUGUUAUUGAGAAAAAGAAAAACACCUUGGGGCAUCAGGCCAUGACCAACAUUAAUCAUUAAAAAUCCAAGACAACAAAUUGGCCAGAAGCAAGGUCUAUUGUUUAAAGUUUUUCCACUACUGAGUUAAAAAGCCAAUUUAUGAUAAUGUUGAGCUUAGACAUAUGAUUUCAAGUAAGAAUUGAAAAUAAUUAGAGACUCCAAUUUUUCAUUUAUUGGCUGUUGAGUUAUCCUUACGCGAAGUUGCUAUGCAUCAACCAAUAAGCAAGAAUUCUCCUUUUAUUCCUUGUUUUCUAUUUCUAUUUUAACUUUUUAGUUUUUUGGGACUGAUAUUUCUUACCAGGGAAGUAAACCUGAAGAUACCGCUUCCACAAACAUCAAAUCCAGCAACAAAACCUUCCCCCCAUCCAUCGGACCACCAAGCAUCAACUGCAGCUCCUAGUUCAAAAGAAAAGUCAGAAGAAUCCUCCAGAGGCCGUGGACAAACUGUGAUGCAUCCUGUGUAUCUCAUGCCCAAUCUAUCAGACCCUGCAACUCUGUAGGAAGGAAUCCAUUCCUACAAAAUCAAGCAAAGGUGUUCAGGAAACAGGGUGAAAGGUGAAGGGUGAAGGGACAACAUACAAGUCAAUAUAUGUAAGUAGAUCAUAAGUCUUAGUAUAUUAACUUAAGUUAUAGUAGCAGUGGUUAAGGUAACUCAAACUUUUCAGGACCAUCAUAAUCCUGGAUGUCAUCAUAUUGAACUUUCAGACGUUUUUGUGAUACCUGUAAGACCUUACACCUGAACCAGCAGCCUCUCAUGCCACUAUCGUGGCAAAGAACCUCUAAGUUGUCACCAACUUCAAAAGACAGAUUAUAUUAACGCUCAACAAGCUGAAUUCCAACCGACCCUAUGCUUGGAAAUUUUAUUUUUAACUUUGUGUAAGUUGAUGGUUUGGCUUUUGCUAUCUGGUUACCAGGAAUUGACUUUCUGAUGCCAGAACACUCUCACCAACACUUCUAACAAGGAUACACUUACAUAUCGCCCCUCGUCCAAAACGCCAUGGAAAACAACUCUGAGCAAUCGGUGGGUCAGUGGUUGGAUACCCAGCGCAGCAUCUCCUUGAGCAGCAGGAAGAGCAGUUGGAGAUGUUCUGGACCUAUCCAGGAAAUGGAGCAGGUUAACGAUUUUAAGAACCACCUACUUCCCCUUUCCCACAUCAAGAAGAUCAUGAAAAGGAUGUCCUCAUGAUCUCAGCUAAAAAUAAGGACAUUCAAGGCCUACAAUUCCAUAGGCAGCUAAAAAUAAGGACAUUCAGCUUGUGCCUGGAAAACUGAAAUCGGGAACAAAAAUCACAAAAUAAAAAUGGAACUGGAAAUAACUUUUCACCAUCUCCACUGCUCCCUCCCCAAAAAAUCCACGGGGGAAGGCUUCUUUAUGGAAAGAAUAAUCGCAACAUAAUUUAGUUUCUUUCCUGUCAAAGCAUAAGAUCUUUCAUCUACAAACUCAUCAAAAAGCAUUUUUCAUCUUCAAAUUAGAUUAGCGAAGCACAGUAGCCGGUGAAUAGUUCACAAAAAGUGAGACUGAUAUUAGCCCAUCAAAUUGAUAAAGUUUGGACAUUCGCAGUACUUUAACAUUGUUGCUUGUAGACAUGAUCAUGAGGCAUCUGUCAUCUCUAGAUUGAUUGGAUGUAACCAGUAGCCAAUAAUCUAUGAUCAACUUCUUCAGGAAAUGCUAACUACUAGAAAUGAGAGCAUUUGAUGUACAUGUACGCCAAUAGAUACUGCAAAUCUCAUGUAACUAAAAUCUUACUGCAACAUGAUUAUACAUACUUGAAAUAGAUGGUGAUCGGUGAUGCUUUGAAACCAAAAACGUCAGCCAUUCCACUACCUCUUUUCCUGCAUGCCACUUUGUGUCGGAAUUCAUGGUACUUGUGUGCCCAAAAGCAUCCAAAUAAUCCUCUGAGACAACAUAUAGCAUGUGCCUUGAACUUUUUUCAGUACCCACCACAACAAGGAUUAACUCCCUUGAGGUAUCCUUCAAGUAGUGGUGCACAACAUGACGGCCCUUCUCCUGAGAAACAACGUGCUCUUCCAUAAACUAAAUACAUGAUUAUCUGUAUCCAUCCUGAUGCCACAGAGAAACAAUCAUUUUAGGCUAAAGAGUCAUGAGUAAACAUAAUCCUCUAAGUUCUGUUACAAAUUUAGGACCCGAACUGAAAUGAUUAUAAUUAAGAACAUCAUACAGAAAGUAGACAUUUUUCCAACUAUUCGCUUCUGAUGACCAUAUAAACAAUGAAAAAACAGCAUCAAACCACAACCCCAAAUGAAACACAGACAAAAUUUUGCUCAAUACAACUCAGCUACAAAGAACACAUUUUUUUUUCAAGAAUUACCAAUAAAGCCCAAACCCACAUGAAAAACGAAAUGGGAUUCGCUGAUUUUCAAAGAUUAACCAUGUACAAGAACAAAAACACACAAUAUUGAACCAGCAUUGAGCAGACAUCAAGUGAUCACACUUAAAACAAAUAGCUUAGGGUUGUAAGUGGAAACAAGCAAUCAAAAAAUAACCCAACAAGCUAAGCAUGUAACUGACUUCAAAAUUAGCCAAAGUUUGUUGCUUUGUGAUAAAAUAGAGCUUGAGAAGGCCUAAAGAGUAUCCUUCUGGUCAUGGGAGCCAAGGUUUUGCUUCUUUUAUUUGGGACCUAAAAAAGAAAUCUAUUUAAUUAAGGAGAUGAUUUACUUGGAAGUACAAAUUUAAUUCUAAAAUUAAACUAAGGCCUGUUUGGAAAGUCAUUUUCGUAAUUGAAUUUGAUGUAAUUGGGUAUCAAUCAGCAGGUAAUUUUGGUGUAAUUGGUAUGAGUAAUUACACUUUUCAUUUCACAGGGAGGGAUUGUGAAUUGCUCGAAUUACAUGGUAUAAUUACAGGCUACUUAUUAAUUUUUAAUUUUUAAUUUUUUGUUUUAAUAUGUUUUUUAUUUUUAUUAUUUUAAAUUCUUCAUAAAAAAUCAUUAAUAUAAGGUUGUUAUGGACUCACGUGUUCCUUUUCUUUUAAUUCAUAUUUAUGUAUGUUAUGUUGAAAUUUGACAUUAGAAUACUAUGUUAAAAAGAAAGUGGCCCUCUCUCUAAAGGGGCUUAUGCACUCCAUGACUUUCUAAUGUUAUGGACAGUUUAGAAAGAAAGACGUGCAAAUUGAAACGGAGGAAGCUGCCCUUGCAGAUAAGAUGAUCGAGAUACGGAACAGGGAACUCGCGCGCUUCAGAAUCCCUUUCAGAUAGUAGGACCCCUUUGUGAAUUUUUCGUUUUGAAUUUAUAACUUAUGCUAUAUUUUCAAUUUCAUUUAGGAGUAUUGACUUGAUAUUUUACAUUGAAACUAUUUUUUUAAGUUAGACUUGAUAGAUUAUCUUUUUGUCAAAUGUAUUAUAAUUUCAAGACAUUAUAUUUAUAAUAUUAAUCUUUUUGUCAAAUAUGCAUUUUAUGAUGUACAUAGAAAUUUUGUACUUUUAGCUUUUAUGAUUAGUUUAAUUAAAAAUAUAUUAAAUUAAAAAAUAUAAAUCAAUUACAUUAACACGUGUAAGGUAAUAUGAAACGGAGGGAGUACUUAUUUCAAGUAUCACUCUUUUUCCUAAUUAUUCACCAAAGAAAAAAAAAAAGAUCCAUACAAAUUUUUACCUUCAAUUAUUUGGGUGUUUCCACGUAAUUAAGCUCAUACAUUGUACUAAAUGUACGUUUUAAAGUUUAAACAUUUGGAAUUUGGAUACUCAUAAGUCUAACUUGAUUACGAUCCAAUCCAUAAUGCAUAAACCAGGAUAUAUUAAAUAGCCAUUACAACUAAUUAAUCGUAAUUAAAUUAAUCAAGCACGUACACCAUCCUAAUUAAUUCUCUAAUUAGUUAGCCAAGAAGAACAUCUUCAAUAAUAGUGUAGUCGAUUUACUUUCUCAUUUUUCAUUUUACUUGGCCCCUCUAUUUUAUUUUUUUUAAAUAAUCAAUUUAUUUGUCCAUUUUGCGAAUUAAGAGGGUUUUGUUACUUCCGAUUUUUUUUUACUGUCCUUAUUAUUUUGUUAACUAGCUACCUAAACUAAGUAGAAAUAGUCAAAUUUAGAAUUCUAAAACAUCAUUAAUAAAGUAGUUUCGUAAAAGAAACAUUUACAGUAAUUUCUUAAAGGGUGUGUCAAGUCAACAUGAGUCAAGUAAUUAAUAUAAAACAAGAGUACUAUCGAAAUUGAAUAAAAACCCUUGAGAUGCCAACGUUUAAUUGGACCAGUAAGCAUAUCCUAUUUCUUUGAUUUCAUUAAAAUUAACUAUUAAUCAAUAUAUCAUUUAUAAAAAAAACUCACGUAUUUGAUUAAUUUCCCACAUUAUAUUUACUCUUCACCUUCAUAUCAUAAAUCCCUAUUAUAGCACCUUGUUAAUACUAAUCCCACGUCCUCCAUUUUUUUUCCUAAGCAAUUAUCACUCGAAUUAAUCCCACUAUCACUUUGCUAAUUAAAGACAUGAAGAAUAUUACUCUCAUGACCAUCAAAAUUGUUCUACUACUUACCCUAGUUUCAUGGAUUAAUAUUCUUCAAGCUCACCCUAUAACCACAUCUAGUACUGGUUGUACUACUACACUUAUGACACGUCUAAAACUACAAGAUGAAGAAAGGUUCAUCACGGGAUUCAUUAUUCAAGCUCCAAGCAUGCACGGGGCCGGGAAUCGUGCUUUUCUUCGUUAAUGGUGAAACCUAUCUAGGUCAAGAUUGUUGUGAUGCUAUAAGAAUUAUUGAACGUCAAUGUUGGCCAUCUAUGCUUGGUUCUCUUGGUUUUACUUCUGAAGAAGGUGAUAUUUUGCAUGGAUAUUGUGAUGCUAGUGAGUCUUCUUCAAUCCCAGAGAGACACCACUAAGAGACACCACUAUCUCCUAAUUUGGCUCCAUAAGUAGAUUAAUUAAUUUUAAUGUUGCAAAAAUAAAAAAGGGGGUUUUAAACUUUAAAGUAUUGUUAUGUAACAAUAAUAUCAUGGAAGAAUAUAUUAAACUUUGACAUAUGUGUUUGAUGCACACUUUUUUUAUUUUUUUGGAUUUUUGUCGAGUUAUAAUUUAUAUAGUGAAAAAAACUAUCUACACCCCUCUGGUAUGAUUUGUCAUGUUUCUUUUUUUAUAUAUAUUUUUCUAUGAUAACAUUAUUUAAAAUGGUAUUUGACUAGUUUAUCUUCAUUUAUGUUCUAAGAACAAUUAUCUCCUUAGUGUGACGAUGUGCCACAUCAUUGUGCCAUGCAAGUUCCACAUGACACAAAGUUACCCAUUUGGAGGAAUUACAUAGGAAGAAGACUUAUCCUUGUGGAUUAUUCUAGAGAAAGAUAAAUAUUUUUUUUAUAGAAGAUUAUUGAAUUACAUAGAAGUCACUAGAUUAUUCUAGGUAUGUAGAGAGUUCUAUAAAAGAGAUCUUAAUGUAAAUAUGUAGGAUCUUACAAAGAAAUUAUUAUUUAUAUGUUAGCCCCUAGAUUAGUAGUAUAAAUAGAGGGACAUCCAUUUGCAAAACCAUCAAACAAAAAUCAUUACAAGUUCUCUACACAAUUAUUCCUAACAAUCCUCUUUCAUUCUCUUCAUGUCAUUGUUUUGGUGAAGAGUUAUUUGAUAUUUGUGGCAAAUAAAUCAUAAAAUUAAUCGAGGUGCACAUAAAACUAAUUCGAAACUCAUAAUCAUCAAAUAUCAUAAAAUUCACAAAUAGAAGAAAACAAGAUUUAGAAAAUCAAUUAACUAAUUUUUCACUAAUUUACUAAAUAAAAAAAAGGUUCAAGUCAUAAUUCCUACUGACCGGUUAAGCCUUCCUUUUAAAUUGACUUUGAACUUCAAUUUUGAUUUGUAAAUAAUCAAUUUUUGUAUUGAUUAGGUUGUGGGAGAUGUUAGUGCAAUUAAUAAUUAAAGAGACGUUUUGACUUGUUUGAGGUUAUCAUUAUCAUGAGAGGCUAUUCAAAACUAAAAGGGUAUUUUUAGCAAUAUUUUCAUUUUUUGAUUAAAUUUGUUGUUUAUUGUGUAUAUUUUCACUUAUAAUCUUCAUUUUCUAGAUUUCCCCAGAUUUACUCAUGGCAAAUGAAAACGGGAGUUUUAUAUGGGAGGGUAAAUAUAUUAUGGACGACGUUCUAGUCUAAAUAAUGAAACGAAAAAUGUUUUAGAUAGGUAAACAGUUCGCCAAUAUUCAACUGUAUAGCACACAAAAGUGUCUCUCAUGCAAGUGCAAGGUGUAGUAGAUAAUCAAGUGGUGCAAGAUCACAUAGACAGUAUCAUAUGUUUGAUGCGUUUUAGUCAUAAAUCAAGAUCAUUCUACUAUGCAAUUUAAUUGUGGAUAAAAAAAUUUCAUUCACUUUUCCCUUUAUAUUUCUAUAUUCAUUUACUUUAAUACAGAUUAAAUUCGUUUGUGACCGUUGAUUUAUUUUUUCCUUAAGUAGUUUGACUUUUGACAAGUGGAUACUCCAAACAAAUUACAAUUUUCUUUUCUACUCCGUCUAUCCUAGUUUAUUUGGCAGAGAGUUAAAUCUUUAAUUAAUUUGAUAAAAAAUACCAAUAUGAAAUUUUGAAGUUUUUGUUAUAAUCACAUUUAUGUGAAUUAAGACUUUAAAUAAAAUAGUUAAUUCAACUUCUAAAUCUAUCUAUAUAUAUAUAUAUAUAUAAAGGAGGAUAUGAAAAGGCUGAUGUGACAUACUUCUUUGAUCAGGAUUUAUAAUUAUCUUCUUCUUUUUUUCUGAUUUUUGAGAAGUUUCUCUCUAUUUUAGGAUUUAAAAUACUCUAAUACAUUAAUUAAUGAUGAUCUAUUUAUAUUAUUCCUUCAGUUAAUUAUAGUAAUUAUAGAAAAUUGAUUGGUUUCUUCUUCAUUGAUACAUAACCGUUAUUUUUCUUUAUUUAUUUAGACCUCAUUAUGUGAUCAUCAUUUAAUUAAUUAUUAAUUAACUUUAUUAUUCAAAUUUUUUCACCUUUUUAUUUGACAUUUUACAAUAUUUUUCUGAUUAAAAUUAAAUAUAUUCAUGAAAGUAUAAAAAGAUUAUUUAUUGGAAUUAAAUGCUCAAUUUUUAAAUUAUACGUUUUCCCAAAACUUUUAGACUUUUUUUACAUCUUAUGUUUUGUUCUUUCCUGCAGGGAAAUUGUAACAAUUGAAUUAAAAACAAGAGUUAAAUGUUAGUAAUAAUAAUAAUGAUUGCAAUUAAAAUAAUUGAAAGCUAUAAAAUAAAAACCAACAGUUACUAAUAAUAGAGACGUGUGAGGUAAUGAAAAGUCACGAGGACAACUAAUAAUUACGCCUAUAAAUUCAUGAGAAUUGCAAAGAUCCAAUGAAAUGACUACAAAGUUUUCUUCCCACCUGAUGAGGUAUGUUGAGUGACUAGCAAAUUUCUCUUUUUACUUUUUUCUUUUAACUUAUUCAUUAUUUUCAAAGUAUAUCAUAGUUUUAUUUUUAUGUAGAAGCAAAUAGUCUUUUUAUGAUAUAUAUUUAGAUUGCUUUGAAUAGUGUUAUAAUUUCUUAACGAUUCUCUUAUAUCUAUCCUUUAUCAGCGGCGGUUCAACGUACUUGGAGGUCUAAAGCGAAAUUUCAAUUAAAGGCCUAAAAUCUUUUAGUUAGCAAUUAUUAUAUAAAUUGUUAACAUUAUUCUAUAAGUAAUAAGUUGACAAAACUGCUUAUAAGCUUCUUCUUUUUUGGUUUAAAAAUACAUAAAAUAAGUCAAUCUAAACAGGCUUGUAAUUCACUUUAUCCAAAACAUGAUUUUUACUAUUGAUUCAUAUUUUUGAUAGAGCUCUAACUUACAUAUAGCAUAAAAGGGGUCUAGAAAAUUACAAUGCGAGAGUUAGUGAAGAGAAUGUAAAAAGACAAAACAACAUUUUUCUUGAUUUCUUCUAUUCGAUUGAGAUUAAGGAGAAUAAAAUAAUAUAUAUAUUUUUAAGAAAAAUACUUUCUUAGAUAAUUAAUUUUUUCUAUAAAAAAAAUUAACACAUAAUUUAUUGUGGUAAAAUUAGAGGCCCCUAAAAUUGGGGGCUAAGGCAUAUGCCUAAUUUUUAUAAGUAUUGAGCCGCCACUGCCCUUUAUAGAAUAUUAAAUUUAACUAUAUGAGAUUUUGUGGCAAGUUAUAUAACAAUUAUUUCGCUAUUGAUUUGAUGAGUUUUUUAUUUAUUUUUAAUAAUGAUCAACAUGUUUAGGGGAUCAUUAUUUAUGAACAACUAAAUUGUAGGGGUGAGUACCUUAUUUAUACUUGACCUGUCAUACUUCAAAAGGUAUGAUACUUCAUAGUAAUUUUUUCAAUUUUUGUAAAAGCUAAAUGUUAAUUAAUUAAAAUACUUCAUUAGCCUUUCUUUCUAUUAUUUUUGUCAAACAUUCUAAAUAUUGAGGAUUUGCUCUAGAAUUUUAUUUACUUAUUAAUAUUUUAUUUUAUUUUACAAUUUUUCUUAUUUCUCUAUUAUUAUUGUAAAAUAAUAAAUAUGUCAAUUAACCAUUCAUUAAUACUUUAAUAAUUUAAAACUUGAUGAUCUUUGUUUACAUUACUCCAAUAUUUUUUUAUUAUCAUAACUCCUAAAAUAAUUAAUAGUCAUUAUAUUAUUUCGGUAUACAUAUUGUAGUUCUAUAAAUAAAGACAUGGUAAAACAUUGUAGAAAUGAUUACAUUAUAAGUCUCUCAAGUUAUUAUAUUUUUGAUACGUAAUUCUUAUAUUCAUGUUUUAGUUUGACUUGAAUAGUAAAAUGAAGGCUAUUGAAUGAUGAUCGGCUUGUGGGAAUGAAUGUUGACAAGAGUUAGGAAAAUUGUACAUUGAUUUCAUUUUUUUUUUUCUUCAAUUUUUUAAAUAAUCAAGAUCAUAAUAAUGAUGUACAUUUUUUAUUAUUUAUCUUAUGUUCUAUCCAUAAUUUUCUUUGUUUUAUAUUUUAUACGAUUCGUUUUACUGUUGUAAGUUUAUAAAAAAAAAAAAUUUGGUUCAAAUAAACAACUAUGACAUUGUUUGGAGUCAUGGGACUACUAAUCAAACGUUUAUCUUUAUGAAAUCAAUUAUACGUCUGGAUGCAUAUAUAUAUAUAUAUAUAUAUAUAUAUAGUAUACAUGUACAUAUUAUAAAUAUCUCUUCUAUUUAUAUUAUAUUUUAAUAAAAUUAUCGACAUCUUAUCAUCUUUUUUAACCGCGCAAAGCGCGGAUAAGUUCACUAGUCGAUAUAUAUAACCGAUAAGAGAAAGUGUACAAUACAAGGGCAUGUCACCUUCUUGGCCGAUUUGUAACACACAUACAUGUGCAAACUAGAAGAGUGCGCUAAGAUGGUAAGCACACUCCACAGGCCAUUUCCAAUCCUGAAAUUGUGAGUUCGAAUCACCAUGAGAGUGAAAAUGUGGGAGCUCGUAGUGAGGGGUAAGAAAAAAGACCGCUUGUAUAUAGUUCUAUGAGAUGCAUUUUCCAUGUUUUGUUGUCAAAGGCCUAUACAUUUACAAAGGCGAAUCGAGCAUCGUUGAGAAUUACAUAAAAGUCAAAAUUUACCCCAAGUGCCAAAAGCAUUUCUCCGCUGAGUGUUUAGAAGUUGACACCAUUUUGUUGUCUUCAGGUACCACAAGCUUGGGAGUCAUCUGAUUUUUCACAGUUCCCUGGUUCUUUGAUAGUACACCUGGAUACAUAGGUUAAACUCGAACUUAUGAACGACUUUAUGUCUUUCUUUCCCUCAACUUCAACCCAUUUGUCAUCAACCCAAUCUCUUGAAGUCCUCACGUUCUUCCUUUGAAUCUCCAAUAAUAUGUUCUCCAUAAAUCCCAAAAUAAAAAUGGAACUGGAAUACCUUUUCACCUUCUCCCAAAAAAACCCACAAAAUGUCAAAGCAUAAGACAUGAUCUGUAGCCUAUGAAUAGUUCACAAAAUGUGAGAUUGAUAUUAUACCAUCAAAUUGAUAAAGUUAGGACAUUUGCAGAACUUGGAGCAUUGUUGCUUGUAGACAUGAUCAUAAGACAUUUGCUCAUGUCUCUACAUUGAUCGGGUGUGUAACAAGCAGCCAAUAAUCUAUGAUCAACUUCUUCGGUAAAUGCUAAAUACUAGAAAUGAGAGCAUUUGAUGUACAUGUACGCCAAUAAAUCUCAUGUAACUGAAAUCUUAAGACUGCUACAUGUUUAUACAUACCUGAAAUAGGUGGUGUUGGUGAUGCUUUGAAAUAAAAAACAUCAAUCAUUCCACUACCUCUUUUCUUGUACGCAACAUUGUGUCAGCAUUUACGGUAUUUGUAUGCCCAAAAGCAUCCAAAUAAUCCUCAGAGACAACAUGUAGUAUGUGCCUUGUACUUCUUUCAGUACCCACCACAGCAAGGAUUAACUCCCCUGAGGUAUCCUUCAAGUAGUACUGCACAACACGACGGCCCUUCCCUUGAGAAACAACGUGCUCUUCCCACGAUAUAAAUACAUGAUUAUCUGUAUCCACAGAGAAAACAGUUUGGAUUAAUCAAAAACAGCCCAGUUCUUAAACACCUCAUCCAGAAACAUAAACAAACAUUUUAGGUAACAAUCAUUUUUUGAAAAAUAACAAGUAACAAAAGGACAAGAAAUAACAGAUAGUAACAAAAAUCGAAGGACAAAAAACAUCAGGGGCAAUAGUAUGACUACUAAUUUGAACGGACAUGAAGAGUCAUGAGCAUACAUAAUCCUCCUAAGUUCUGCUACAACUUAGGACCUGGUCGAACAAACAGAAAUGAUUGUAAUUAAGAACAUCAGAUACAAAGAAGAGAUUUUAGCUCCUGAUGACCAUAUAAACAAUGAAAAAACAGCAUCAAACCACAACUCCAAAUGAAACACAGACAGAAUUUCACAUAAUCCAAAUAUAAUUCCAGAAAACUCUCAAUACAAUUCAGCUAAAAGAGCAAAUAUUUUAUUUUCAAGAAUUACAUACAAAGAACCAAAUUCACAAUGAAAAACAACAAUGAAGCCCAAACCCCGUGAAAAACGAAAGGGGUUUGCUGAUUUCCAAAGAUUAACCAGAACAUUGAACCAGCCUUGAGCUGACACCAAGUAAUCACACUUACAUCAAAUAGCUUAGGGUUGGAAAAAAAACAAGCAGCAAAAAAGAACCUGGAAUUGAAGGAAAAAAAGGUAAGCAGGUAACUAGUACUGACUGACUUCAAAAACAGCAAAAGCUUGUUGCUUUAUUGAGAAACUGAGCUUGACAAAAAAGCCAGAGAAUGCUGAGUUUUUAUAUUUAGAAGCAGUGAAUCCGUAUGGCCUUAAACUAACAAAAUUAGUGUUGCAACAAUAUUAGUCACAGAUACUUUAUUCCAAAAUUAAACAGAAAAAUCGGAUCUUGAAUCCAUUUCAUGCUCAUGUCAGGUCAAUGUACAGAGAAAAAAAACCCUGCAAAAUUACGUCCAAUUUAUUAUAAUCGAUUAGUUAACAUGUUGGUUAACUAUAUUAGGAAACAUGGAAAAUAUCAUUGGCUUAAUCAUAUAUAGCCGUGAAAAACAUUCAACAAAAGACAAACCCUAAAUCCUAUAAAUCCUUAAAUAAACCCUAAAAACCAUUUAAAACACCUACAAAACCCCAAAAUUUUUCGUGGACGUCCAUUAAGACCUUAUAUAUAGAGCCAGUUGGCCCUCACCGCCAAAACGUCCCAUUUUCAAGGUCAAACGACCCCCAGAGCAGGUAAAACCCCCAUUUUGCCGGGGAACCGUUCCCAGUCCGUCCCCCGGCCGGCACGCGGCGACCCGCUCUUGCCGCGGGAGCAGCUCGAGCAGUCCACCGACAGUCGACGGGUUUGGGACUGGGAUCCCGUGCCCACAAACGUCGGCCGACCGUUGUGUGCAGGACAAAAGCAAUGCGGGCAGGCCACGUUCGACGUCGGCUGACCGUUGUGUGCAGGUCAAGGAAGAUGCGGCCUGGCCAAGCCCGACGUCGGCUGACUGAUGUGUGUAGGUCAAGGGCGGAAUAACCUUAACAUACCUUUCCAAUGAACGCUCGAAAGAUUGUAGUUCCUUCACGAAAGUUGCUCCUUAUGUCCUAAGCUUCGCAAACACUAUAUAUACAAAAAAAAAUCCACUAUCCGUAAUAGAAAACUUCUAUUUGUUCACAAAAUUAAUCAUAUUUUCUUUGCUAACGAAGAAUAUAAUAUUUCAUUUGGACUAAUAAUAGCUAUGUGAAUCUCUUCCAGAUCGAAUGGAAGCAGAUUGCGCUUUCUCUGCCUGAGGACUUGCUUGAAAUGAAAGCGGGCUACAUCGCCGUAUGUAUGCACCACCUUUCAGUAACAAGGUAACAAUAACUGUGCUGAAGUAAGAAAACAGGGACAAGAUCUAUCCGCACCCAUUUCCUUAUUAAGCAAAGAGGAAAUUGUGCAGCUCAAUCAGUAUGAUAAAAGCCAAAUUAUGUAAGCAAACAACUAUUUGAUCAUACUAGUGUGUUUCUGCUGUUGAUAAACUGUUAGAACUUUUUGCUCAUCUUCUAAAAUUAAAAAAAUGGUAUUAGACUUUCAAGAAAAAGGAUUCUGAAAAACAGGUCAUACUCAGAGGAAACUUCAUAAAGUUACAACUUUUAUGCAUAACCGAUAAGAGAGUGUACAAUACAAGAACAUGCCAACUUCUUGGCAAAGAGUGCUUGCCUAUAGUUCUAUAAGAUGCCUAUUCCAUAUAUUGUUGUCAAAGACCUAUAGAUUUGCAAAGGCAAAUUGAGCACCGUUGAGAGCUACUUACAAGUCAAACUAUACCCACAGUACCAAAAGUAUUUCAUCAUUAUCGAGAAGAACUGACGGGCGCUAGAUGAUAGCAUUAUCACUUGUAGAAUUGUCUGAAAUCAGUUCUUGUUAUCUGCAAGAAAAUCAAUAUACCAUCGUUUUUUCAGUUUAAGCACAUCAGUGUCUUGCUUCUCCGCUGAGUGUUUGGAAGUUGAAGCCAUUUUGUUGUCUUCAGGUGCCAUAAGCCUGGGAGCCAUCUGAUUUUCGCAGUUCUCCGGCUCAUUGAUACUGCCCCUGGAUGCAUAAGUUAAACUUGAGCCUAUGAACGACUUCAUGUCUUUCUUUUGCUCAACUUCAAUCCAUUUGUCAUCAACCCAGUCUCUUGAAGUCCGCACAUUCUUCCUUUGGAUCUCCAAUAAUAUGUUCUCACCUAUUAUUGAGAUAAGAAAAAACACAUUGGCGCAUCAGUCCAUGACCAAUAUCGAUCAUUUAAACUUACGGACAACAAAUUAGCCGGAAGCUAGGCCUACUAUUUAGAACUCUUUCAACUGAUGAGUUAUAAAGCCAAUUUAUGACAAUGCUGAGCUUAGACAUAUGAAUUCAAGUAAGAAAUGAAAAUAAUAAGAGACUCCAAUUUUACAUCCAUUGGCAGUUGAGUUAUCCUUAUGCGAAGUUGCUAUGCAUCAACCAAUAAGCAAGAAUUCUCCUUUUAUUUCUUGUUUUCUGUUUCUAUUGUAACUUUUUAGUUUUUGGGGACUGUUAGUUCUUACCAGGGAAGUAAACCUGAAGAUGAUCGCUUCCAGAGACAUCAAAUCCAGUUACAACACCUUCCCACCACCCGUCAGACCACCAAGCAUCAACUGCAGCCCCUAGUUCAAAAGAACAGUCAGAAGAAUCCUCCAGAGGCUGGGGCCGAACUGUGAGGCGUCCUGUGCAUCUCAUGCCCAAUUUAUCAGAGACUGCAACUUUGUAGGAAGGAAUCCAUUCCUAUAAAUCAAGCAAAGGUGAUGAGAAGACAGGGUGAAGGGAGAACUGACCAGUCAAAAUACGUAAGUAGAUCAUAAGUUAUAGUCGAAGUGGUUAAGGUACCUCGAGCUUUUCAAGACUUUCACAAUCCUGAAUGUCAAUAUAUUGAACUUCCAUACGUUUUUGUGAUACCUGUAAUACUUUACACCUGAACCAGCAACCUUUCAUGCCACUAUCGUUGCAAAGAACCUCUAUGCUGUCACCAACAUCAAAAGACCGCUUAUAUUGAGGCUCCACAAGCUGAAUUCCUACUGGUUCUAUGUUUGGAUAUUUUAUUUUUAACUUUGGGUAAGUUGGUGGUUUGGCUUGUGCUAUCUGGUUACCUGGAAUUGACUUUCUGAUACCAGAAUGGCAACUCUCACCGACACUUCUACUCCCACUAGGUCCUUGCAUUGAAGGAUCUUCUUGGGUUAUCUUUUUUGAGACAUCAUCAGAUAUGUGACCAGCCAUCAAAGCACUUCUUCUUGUUUCUCUUCUUGGGGUAUCUACAAGAUAAGGGAAGUCUAAUUACUAUAAUGUGAAGUAUAUUAAAGCUAAGAUAAAAAUAAUUUAUAACUACUAGGCUUAGUAUUCUUUCUACAGAGAUCCAAUUUUAUAGAGCAUCAACAACUCAAAAAUCAUAAGCAACUUUGCAGCAUAUACAGCAAUUUUCUGAGUAUUCAGCUUAAAACAAGGACGUUUAAGGCCUAGAAAUUCAUAGUUGGUAUCAGGUGUAAUCUUAAUCUUUAUGAGCACAUAAGCUUUAAAUUCUUCAUGUGCAUAUAACCAUCAAGAAGAACAAAUAAUUCAUUGCUGAAACAUGGCAACAAUAUAAUGACAACAUUUACCAAGUACAUCAAACCAAAGGCUAGUAUAAAUGAUCCCGAGCUAUAAUUGGAGGAUUUAAUUCAAAAAAUUUCAGCCACCUGGCCUACAGUUCUUUAAAGAAAAUCUACUCUAAAACUGGCUAGUAAUUAAUUGGGAUCUACAUGAACAUCAAAGCACAACACAAAACACAUACACCAAUGUCAAUUAAAAGCAAAGCACACAGAGGAAGUCGAAAAAUGCAUCAACAUUAAUAGGAUUACCAAACAUGCAUGAUAUUAAGGAUCACAUAUAGACGCAUAAGGGGAAAAUGAAAAAGAUAAGAGGAAGAUCCAAACUGCAUACUGCACAUUUAAACAAUAGAUCUUUGCAAUAUCAAGAUAUAAAAUAAAUUGUUCAAAUGAAAUUCUAAAAUGCUGUAACAAGCAAAGGGCAGACUGUGUUUGAUAGACCCUCAACUCCCUUGCCCCCACCACCCAACUUAAGGGCCAACUGACCUUCUCUUUACCCAAGGAAGAGUUGCACCUCAAGGAUCAUUUUCUAGCGUUUAACCCCUUUCUCAUUCACAAUGGAAGUUGAAAAGAGGUGAGAUACAUUAGAGCAAGGAUGCCAUCAAUUUUUAUGUGAUACCCACAGAAAAGACUAAAAAGAAAGGAGAAUAGCAUUAACACCAUACAUUCUUCAUCGGUUAUCUUGCAAAUUAACAAGAGCAAGAACUGAUUAAACAAAAGGCAGAGAAUUGUAAACCCCGUUUCCCUUUUAUGUCAAAGAGCUAAAAUCGACUGUAUCAGGAAAAAGAAAGAUAUACAUUCUAGACUUUUAUCAGGGGAAAACAAGGAUGGCAUAGUGCAGUAGGAAACUCUUAUCUCGAUUUCUUUGUUUCCCUUUUCAGUUGUUAAAACUUUUACCUCGGUCUGUCCGCUAACACUAUGAAAACUGAAUAUAGAGGAACGAUGUCAUCGGUUAUCUCGCCAAUUAACUAGAGCAAUUACUGAUUAAACAAAAGUCCGAGAACUGUAAGCCCCCUUUCCCUUUUAUGUCAAAGAGCUAAAAUCAACUGUAUCAGGAAAAAGAAAGAUAUACAUUCUAGACUUUUAUCAGGAGAAUACAAGGAUGGCAUACUGUAGUAGGAAACUCUUAUCUUGAUUUCUUUGUUUCUCUUUUUCAAUUGUUAAAACUUUUAUCUCGAUCCCUCCGCAAACACUAUUAAACUGAAUAUAGAGGAAAGAUGGAAUCAGAAGGUUAGAUAUAACAUUGAGAAUACUAAGAUACUAAGUAACGGUUGUAUUUAUUUUGUGUGUACCACAAGUGCAGUAAAACACAUGGAAGCAGGCAUUUUUGUAUAACACAAUUCUGUGGGCAUUCUGGUAUUACAAAGUCCCACCCUUAAUUAUAUUCAAACUAGUAAAAUUAAUGUCACAGAAUUUAUAAAAUAAUACUUAAAACUUAUCAGACAUUAAAACUAAAACACUAUAUUAUCUUACAUACAAGAUUACGUAGUAACAAACAUUAAUAAUGUAAAGCAAAAUGAAAAUUGUUACAUCUUAUCAUUUAUCCUUAAUAACAUAAGCAUAAAUUAAUGAUUGUAAAAAUACAUACCAGGAUCUGUAACAUNNNNNNNNNNNNNNNNNNNNNNNNNNNNNNNNNNNNNNNNNNNNNNNNNNNNNNNNNNNNNNNNNNNNNNNNNNNNNNNNNNNNNNNNNNNNNNNNNNNNNNNNNNNNNNNNNNNNNNNNNNNNNNNNNNNNNNNNNNNNNNNNNNNNNNNNNNNNNNNNNNNNNNNNNNNNNNNNNNNNNNNNNNNNNNNNNNNNNNNNNNNNNNNNNNNNNNNNNNNNNNNNNNNNNNNNNNNNNNNNNNNNNNNNNNNNNNNNNNNNNNNNNNNNNNNNNNNNNAGGUCACAAACCUUUGGAAAAGUCACAAUCUUUCAGAAAGGUCACCACCUUUCAUAAACGUCACAACUUUUCAUAACAGUCGCAACUUUUCAUAAAAGUCGCAACUCUUCAUAAAAGUCGCAACUCCUCAUAAAAGUCGCAAUUCCUCAUGAAAAGGGAAGGCUUGUUUUGGAAAUACAUAAAUUUUACAGGGAAUUCUGGUUUGUGGUGGCGCCAUGUAGGCGGGCCUAAGGUUCUCUUUUAUAUAUAUAUAUAUAUGAUAUAUGAUAUACGAUAUGAUUCUAUGCACAUGUAAAUAUUCAAGUAAUCUAAUACUUCAAUGGAAAACAUUUUCUAUCAUAUCGCAUGCAGACUUAAGAAAGAAGGAGAUAUUCAUCACAAAAGAAAAAGGCAAUGUUAGCGCCUAAACUAAUUAAGAGCUUGAAGUUUCCCCUUUAGCUAUUCUUUCAAACAUUGUCCCGUCCAAGUCUUUUAAGGGCCUGUUUGGCCAUGAAUAAUUUUCACUUUUUCUUGAAAUUGUAUUCCGGAAUCAUGUUUGGACAUAGAAUUGUUAGAAUAUACAUGGUUUCACAUUUUCACUCCAAACCACUCAUAAAAAAUCGACAUUUUCCCAAGUUGUAUUGACGUCCAAAUACAACUUAAAUUUCCAAUUACCACUUUUCAACUUUUUUUCAAAUACUACUUUUUUUUUUUUUUUUUUUUACGAAUUUCACAUAUUUAUGUCCAAAACAUCCACUAAAAUAGUAUAAGCCCUUCUAGUAUCUAAGUACCGAUGGAAACUCCCUCCAAGGGAGGAAUUAAAGUUUUGGUUACAGGUUUGGCCGAACCCAAUACCUUUGGUCCAAACCCUAGAUUUGCGUUAAAAUAUUCAUUGACUAUGUACAAAUUAUUAAUUCAGAAACCAAUAACUUAGAAGGACUAGAAUCCCAGACCCACAAACUUAAAAUCCUGGCUCUGCCUCGGAGUUUCCCUCUCACCCCACAAUAAAAGCUUACCAACACUGGCAAGUCGAUAAGAUGAACUAGAGAUAAGACCAUGUUUUAUGAGCUUACCCCCUUCUUUUAUGCUUUUUCUCGAAGAAAAGAAGGAAAUGGCCUAGUUGAAUCAGCUAUAUGAAUGUUAUAUAUCAAUUCACCUCUAUACAGACCUGAAUCCAAUAUUCAAAGGAUUCAUUUGGGAUGAAUUUUUAACUGGUCCUCCACCUAGUAAAACCCUCUUUGGAUCUUCUUGUUUAUCCGGGUUUGGAAUCGGAGAUGUAUGGAACAACUCACAUACGGAGAGUUCCCAUACAAUUUUAAUACAUUCAUAAAAUUGUGUAUUAAAAAUAGUAUCUUUUCCCUAUUAGGAUUCUCCUUUACCGUUUACACUAUAGCUUUCUAUUGAUGGCAGCCCAAAACUGGACAUUCAAAAAGCUUAUGACCACCUCAAUUGGAAGUUCCUGUUAGAGACUCUUUCUAAAAGGGGCAUUGGAGGUAGAUGGUUAAGAUGGAUGAGCUCUCCUACAAGUUUCUUCUCUUCACAGAGAGGUUUAAGACAAGGAGACCCAUCAUCUCCCUUUCUUUUUAUUAUCGCUAUGGAGGGGCUAAAUGAUAUGUUGAAAAUUGCUCAAGAAAAGUUGUGGCUGAGAGGUUUUAGGGUAUCCAGUAGAGUGGGAGCUGAUCUUGAGAUUACUCACUUACAAUAUGCAGAUGACACUCUUGUCUUAUGUGAUGCAAACAGGAACCAACUCAAGAUUUUAAAGGUAAUCUUUGUUCUUUUUGAAGCUAACUCUGGUUCACAUUAAUUAGAACAAGAGUUUCUUCUAUCUAGUAAAUGAAGUCCCUGAUUUACCCUCUCUGGCUAGGAUUUUGGGCGGAAGGACAAGAGAUCUACUAACUACGUACUUAGGGAUGCCCUUGGGAGCCAAAAGCAAAUCUAUAGGCAUCUGAAAUGGGGUGAUUGAAAAAUUUGAAAAAAGGUUGGUGAAUUGGAAGAGUCGAUACCUUUCUUUAGGAGGAAGAUUAACACUCAUCAACAGUAUUUUGGACUCUAUGCCUACCUAUAUGAUGUCGCUUUUCUCUAUUCCUGAUGGUGUUAUUGACAAAUUUAGUGCUUUGAAGAGGAACUUCCCGUGGGAAGGAAAUAGUGUAACCAAGAAAUUCCACUUGGUUAAGUGGGAUACUCUGAUUGAGAGUAAACAGGCAGGAUGGAUGGGGAGAAGGAAUUUAAAAAUCCAAAACCAGUGCCUUAUGAUGAAGUAGCUCUGUGGAAAGAUGUAAUAUAGGCCAAAUAUGAAAUGGAGGAUCUCUGGAUAACUAAAAUGGACACUAGCACUUAUGGAUCAAGCCUUUGGAGAGCCGUCAGAAACCAUUGGCCAAAGCCCAGAUGAAACUGCAGUAUUAAAUUGGGUAAUGGUAGGAAAACCUCUUUUUGGGAAGAUAGAUGGCUAGAACAAGGAUCUUUAAAAACCUUGUUUCUGGAUAUCUUCACCCUAAACCAACAACAAAGGGCCACUGUGGCAGAGAUGUGGUCAAACCAAGGGUGGAAUCUCAGUUUUAGAAGACCUCUAAAUGACUGGGAGAUCCAAAGGUUGGUGGAGUUUUACAAGGUCUUGGGGCAGUUCAAAGGAACUACUGAUGCACAGGAUAGUUGGGAUGGCAGGAUCACAAUCAAGACAAUUUCAAUGUUAGAAAAGCCUACAAGAAGUUUAAUCUUUCAUGAUCUAAAUUUUAAAAUUUAGGGGUAUUGAUAUAAGUACAGAUACGGGUGUGGGAUUUGGCUCAAGUAAUUCAAAUAUCUAAAGUAGAGUUUUAGUUUCAAAUUAUGAGGCAUUAAAUGGAAAUCUUACAAGGUAUUAUGAGGAAAAGUUAUUGAUCAAAAAGAAGAUUUCUAGAAGGAGAUAUAAGGAAAAGCUCUAACAUAGAAAUUUCUAUAUACAAGGAACUCAUUUUAUUCAAUUUCACCUUAGCUUUUGUUUUGAUUCUAGAAAUCAUUGUAUCUAUCUCGAAUUCCUCCGUUGAUUUUGGUCAAGUAUCCAAAAUUAGUUGACCAAUCUCACACUCGCAUCCUAUGUUGCUCGGACUCUUCAAAAAUUUCAAUGGAUGCGUGUUGGUUUCUACAAAAACAUUGUAUUUUUGAAGAAUCCAGCACGGGUGCAGCAUCAAAAGUAGAAAGUCUGUGCAACUUAGCCCACACCCAUAUCAUGUCGACAUGGGUGCAACACCGAAAAUGAAGAGUCCAAGCAGUUAAGUAAUGUGAGUACAUCCAGUUCUUGGUCCCUAUGUUGUGUGAUGUGAUAGGUAAUAAUGUAUCUUGGCACUCCAAGUUCAAAAAUUGGUGUAUUGGAUCCAUAAGCAAUUGCUUCUAAUCCAACUGAUUAUUACAUGUUUCACUUACAAAAUGUAAAUUUGCUUUAAGCAAUCUUCUUCUCUAGUCUCCAUACACAUUUUGAUAAUCACCUAAAUCAAUGAAGAAGUGGAAGGGAAACGCUAUGUCAGGACGGGGGACGGAAAAAGAAACAACUCUGACGAAAAGAAUUAGGGUUCCUAAUGCUUCUCCAUGCUCAAUGAGAUACGUCAACCUCGGGAUGCUUUACUCCUAAUACCACAAGGUUUCGAUACGGAGCUUAACAUGAGUCUUUGGUUAAAAAUAGUGAUGAUAUACAUUUUACACGGAACACAAUUCCAUGGAUAUUUCAUCCGAGAUCGUGAUGGAGGACAUAGCUUACGAUCAUCGUUUUUGCUUGACAAUAGGAAAUGUAUUUCUUUAUUCUUGACAACAAAAAAUAAGCAAACAUGAUGAAUACCGUUUAUAUAAUAGGGAAUAAAUUUAAAUUGAAAAGAUUGAAUAGUAGACCAGUUGUCUUAGUUAGAUAGUAAGAAGUAUAGCCUAAAAGGACUAACAAAUAUCAAUUAAUCGGAUAAUUUAAUCCUUACAAGAUGAACAAUGUUCACCCUUAAUCUUCUCAUAUUCAUCGAAUAUUACAAAUCUUACAAUUCAUUGCUACCAUUAGGCCAUACUCUUGGGAGCUAAUCUCGUCAUAUUUGUUAUGUGAUGAUAGUGAGGAAACCCAUAAUCUGUAUGAUUAUUUGUCCAUUGCCUGGUGAAGAGAGUACACAAGAGCCUCUCAACAAGGGCGGGACAAAAUACAUUGUGAAAGUUCCUUUUAAGGUGGUGUGCUUUUCUUGGCUCGUAGAAAGAAAUGAUUGCCUCUCACAGGAUAAAGUUCAAAGAAGGGAAUUUCAAUUGUGUUCUAGAUGCUUUUUAUGCAGAGCUGCUAGGGAAAAUAACAGUCACUUAUUCAUUCAUUGUCCUAUUACUGGGAAAUUAUGGCGACUAUUCUUGAACAUGGUAGGAAUCAGAUGAUAUCAUUUACAAGGGAAAGGUUGCUCCAGCUAUAAAGAUUCAACAAACACUUAGAUCUAAGAGAGCAAUUGGGAGUUGAAGUCCCAUCAUGACACGUUUUGUUUCUUUCUGUCCAUAAACACCAAAAAAUGCAAGCUGGGAUCAUCUGCCAGAUCUUGUUGAUGGUUGUCACUUUUCAUGAAUUGCAACUUUCAACUGCUUGUUUUAGGUUGAGGGUGGUUGUCCAGCUAAUUCCAAAAAUGGCCAAAAACAUAGUCAGGUCAGCUACCUCAGGGCAAUGCAAUAGCAAGUGGUUUAGCGUCAAUAAAAUUUUUUGGCACAUAAAACACAUGUUCACCUUAAUUUAUUUUUUUCGGGGGGGGGGGGNNNNNNNNNNNNNNNNNNNNNNNNNNNNNNNNNNNNNNNNNNNNNNNNNNNNNNNNNNNNNNNNNNNNNNNNNNNNNNNNNNNNNNNNNNNNNNNNNNNNNNNNNNNNNNNNNNNNNNNNNNNNNNNNNNNNNNNNNNNNNNNNNNNNNNNNNNNNNNNNNNNNNNNNNNNNNNNNNNNNNNNNNNNNNNNNNNNNNNNNNNNNNNNNNNNNNNNNNNNNNNNNNNNNNNNNNNNNNNNNNNNNNNNNNNNNNNNNNNNNNNNNNNNNNNNNNNNNNNNNNNNNNNNNNNNNNNNNNNNNNNNNNNNNNNNNNNNNNNNNNNNNNNNNNUGCUUUUGUCCGGGGGGGGGGGGUUGUAUUCCAGACCAUCUUCCAGGGCCAAGGUGUCAUCAUUCCAUCUGUUGCAUUCAACUGAUUGUGACCACCUUCCAGGGCCAAGGUGUCAUCAUUCCAUCGGUUGCAUUCAACUGAUUGUAGCAUGUUUUCACUGUGAAGAUGCCUCUCUUUUGCCCCCCCCCCCCCCCCCCUCCAUUGUUCUACAUAAGUUAUGUGUUUCAUUCAACUAUUAAACGGAACAGUUGAAGUCCGAAUCACAUAGUAAUUUAGGCUUUAGGAUUGAAUGACUCAAAAUAUUAUACUAAACCAUAAACUUGUGCCUGCACGUUUAUAAGUACAACAACACACAGGAGACUGUGGUUAGAACAAGGAACACAAAGUAUACUUUCCUUGCAAAAACAAAGCAUACUGAAGUAAUAACUUAGGAGGAUAAGUUAUCAUUUAUUCUUCAAACAAGAAUUAUCCAUUUCUGUGAUACAAAGAACUACCAUAUCAGUACACCACUCUAGGUAAAAUCCAGAUGCACAACUAAAGUGAAAAUUCAGUUUGUGCCUGGAAAACUGAAAUCGGGAACAAAAAUCACAAAAUAAAAAUGGAACUGGCAAUAACUUUUCACCAUCUCCCACUGCUUUAUCCCCAAAAAAACCCAUGGGAGGGAGGCUUCUUUAUGGAAACAAUAAUCACGACAUAAUUUAGUUUCUUUCUUGUCAAAGUGUAAGAUUCUUUCAUCUACAAACUCAUCAAAAAGGGAUUUUUCAUCUUCAAAUUAGAUUAGCAAAGCACUGUAGCAAAUGAAUAGUUCACAAAAAGUGAGACUGAUAUCAACCCAUCAACUUGAUAAAGUUUGGUCAUUCGCAGAACUUGAACAUAGUUGCUUUUAGACAUGAUCACAAGACAUCUGCCGUCUCUAGAUUGAUCAGGUGUAGCCAGCAGCCAAUAUUCUAUGAUCAACUUCUUCAAGAAAUGCUAAAUACUAGAAAUGAGAGAAUUUGAUGUACAUGUACGUCAAUAAAUAC
rnacentral:lncRNA from 1 species